ensembl:snoRNA
UUGGAAAGUAUGAUGAAAAUAUGGCUCAGCAGAUUUAACCUCUGAUGAACAAAGAUUAGAAGUCGUUCACUCCUAUCUGAUGUAUCUG